rnacentral:rRNA from 1 species
UACGUAGGAUCCAAGCGUUGUCCGGAUUUACUGGGUGUAAAGGGUGCGUAGGCGGGCUUGUGCGUCAGAAGUUAAAUACAUCGGCUCAACCGAUGAGCUGCUUUUGAUACGGCAAGCCUUGAGUGCGAGAGAGGAUGGUGGAAUUCCUGGUGUAGCGGUGAAAUGCGUAGAUAUCAGGAGGAACACCAGUGGCGAAGGCGGCCAUCUGGCUCGCAACUGACGCUCAGGCACGAAAGCGUGGGGAGCAAACAGG